GGAGUUAGCCGGUGCUUCUUCUGCGAGUAACGUCACAGAUGUAAGGUAUUAACUUACACCCUUUCCUCCUCGCUGAAAGUGCUUUACAACCCGAAGGCCUUCUUCACACACGCGGCAUGGCUGCAUCAGGGUUUCCCCCAUUGUGCAAUAUUCCCCACUGCUGCCUCCCGUAGGAGUCUGGGCCGUGUCUCAGUCCCAGUGUGGCUGAUCAUCCUCUCAGACCAGCUAGGGAUCGUCGCCUAGGUGAGCCUUUACCUCACCUACUAGCUAAUCCCACCUGGGCUUAUCCAUCAGCGCAAGGCCCGAAGGUCCCCUGCUUUCCCCCGUAGGGCGUAUGCGGUAUUAGCAGUCGUUUCCAACUGUUAUCCCCCACAAAUGGGCAAAUUCCCAGGCAUUACUCACCCGUCCGCCGCUCGUCAUCUUCAAAAGCAAGCUUUUGAAAUGUUACCGCUCGACUUGCAUGUGUUAGGCCUGCCGCCAGCGUUCAAUCUGAGCCAGAAUCGAAACCUCGACGACUAGACGGCGGUCGCGACGACGGCGACUAG
rnacentral:rRNA from 1 species